UAUCUACUCCCUCCGUCCGGAAAUACUUGUCGGAUGAAUGGAUGUAUCUAGACGUAUUUUAGUUCUAGAUACAUCCAUUUUUAUACAUUUCUUCGACAAGUAUUUCCGGACGGAGGGAGUAUAGG
rnacentral:pre_miRNA from 1 species